GUUGACUCGCGAGCACGACGGCAGCAGCAAAAUACAAAAUACAAAACACAAGAUACAAUCGACGCGCAUGCGCAAAAAUCAGAAUUGUAGUGUAAAAACCGUGGGAGUCGGAGGCGGAGACGGAAG